rnacentral:rRNA from 1 species
CGGACGGGCGAGUAAUGUCUGGGAAACUGCCCGAUGGAGGGGGAUAACUACUGGAAACGGUAGCUAAUACCGCAUAACGUCGCAAGACCAAGAGGGGACCUUCGGGCCUCUUGCCAUCGGAUGUGCCCAGAUGGGAUUAGCUAGUAGGUGGGUAACGGCUCACCUAGGCGACGAUCCCUAGCUGGUCUGAGAGGAUGACCAGCCACACUGGAACUGAGACACGGUCCAG